rnacentral:rRNA from 1 species
UAGGGAAUAUUGGGCAAUGGGCGAGAGCCUGACCCAGCCAUGCCGCGUGCAGGAAGAAGGCUUUCUGAGUCGUAAACUGCUUUUGACAGGGAAGAAUAAGCACUACGUGUAGUGUGAUGACGGUACCUGCAGAAUAAGCACCGGCUAACUCCGUGCCAGCAGCCGCGGUAAUACGGAGGGUGCGAGCGUUGUCCGGAUUUAUUGGGUUUAAAGGGUGCGUAGGCGGUUCUUUAAGUCCGGGGUGAAAGCCCGCUGCUCAACAGCGGAACUGCCCUGGAUACUGGAGAACUUGAGUACAGACGAGGUUGGCGGAAUGGACUGAGUAGCGGUGAAAUGCAUAGAUACAGUCCAGAACCCCGAUUGCGAAGGCAGCUGACUAGGCUGUUACUGACGCUGAGGCACGAAAGCGUGGGGAGCGAACAG